AUCCAGCUGAAGAGUCCCGAAAAGAACGAAACGCAGUUUGUCCUGGAU
rnacentral:hammerhead_ribozyme from 1 species